GGAGGGAGCACAGCAUCCUGGGCUGUGUCCCCGGCACCCUGGGAUCCCGGGCCUGUGCUGCUGGAAUCGAGCUCCCAGGUCACGCAGCCCCCU
rnacentral:pre_miRNA from 1 species